rnacentral:rRNA from 1 species
UACGUAGGUGGCAAGCGUUGUCCGGAAUUACUGGGUGUAAAGGGAGCGUAGGCGGGGUGAUAAGUCAGAAGUGAAAAUUAUGGGCUCAACUCAUAACCUGCUUUUGAAACUGUCGCUCUUGAGUGAAGUAGAGGCAAGCGGAAUUCCUAGUGUAGCGGUGAAAUGCGUAGAUAUUAGGAGGAACACCAGUGGCGAAGGCGGCUUGCUGGGCUUUUACUGACGCUGAGGCUCGAAAGCGUGGGGAGCAAACAGG